rnacentral:lncRNA from 1 species
CCAUCUUGCUACUAUCUAGAUCUACUCUAGUUUAGAGAAGAGAGGAGAGCUCUCAUAUCUAAACCCUAGCUUUUGCUCUGUCUAUGCAUAAUGAAUAAUGAUCAAGGGGUGCCUCCUCCAGGGGCCAGGGGGUCUGGUUUUAUAGUCCCCUCAAGUGAACCUGGGCCGUCGGAUCAAACCGACAUUGAUUGAACGGUUAUUCUUGAUCCUUUAGGUCGGUGGAGCAUAAUCCGCGAGAUUGAGCGUGAUUGGCCACAGGAGGUGGGCGGGCGCCCAGUAGGACAGGGCGGGCGCCCUGUCUCUGGCCCCGUUUCGCCUCCGCUUCGGUCUCGUGGCUUCUGGAGUCUUCUAGAUGUAAUAUAAUUGCGCGGCACGUUGAUAUCUCUAUGUAAUCCCGACGUGUGGGCCUUUCUUCCUUAUUUCCUGAUAACCCCCUGCAGAAAUAGACAAACACCAAAACUCGUGGAAUUCUGUCAGAUAAAACCCUAAGUCUAGAUGUUGAUUUCAUUUGGAUCCUUUUCUUUGUUUAUUUGAUAAUUAAAUUUGAUACUUAAGGACCGUCAACAAACUCCCCCAAGCUUACCUCUUGCUCGUCCCUAAGCAAGGAUAGACUCAGCAAUGGAUCAGAAGUUGUUGCAAUAUCUUAAAAAUUUGACGGUACACAUACUUUUAAAUGAGGUCUCAUCUCUGAGUUAGAGUAAACUGUCAAGACUUAAAACUUACUUACUUUACCUUUCACCAUGGGACUUGUAACCGUCACUUCUGUCUUGAGUGGUUAAAAGAUAGAACAGUCCCGUCAAGUGCCAUGUCUCUUAUUCGUGAUCAGCUAUAGCUCUGGAGUUUUUGCAGAUUUUCAAAUAAAACUCAGAGAUUCCUUUGUAUGACUCCCUCAUAUCUCUCUUUUGUGGUAUUUCUGGAUCCUUACCAAGGCAGUGAUGGUAUAUGCCUUCUCUCAAAAUAUGUGGUAUUUGUGGUAUAAGGGAUAGUGACAUUGCCCUCUCUCUCACCCUACUCUAAUAAGGCUUUAAUAUCUGGAGCUCAUAGGUGGGAGAUAAAGUAUACAUACUUACAAGACAUUUAUUGUAUAGUCAAACCAUGGAUCCAAAGAAACAAAUCAAUAAGCCAAAUCAAGAUGUGCAUGUGUGGCGAAUGAAUAGUGUAUGGUGAUGAUGGUGAUAACAAUGGUGAAAGUCUAAUUCUACUUUUGCUCUUUUGAGGGGAUACAUACCUUCCUUGCUUUUUGAAACUUUAUGAGGAGAAUGAGAUGCUCUUCUUUUUCUUUCCUCUCAGGUGGGUAUCUUGUACCCCUAAUUCUACUGUCGGACACUUGUCCAUUUUUACCUCUCGUCUCACUCUUUUUGUUUUCUUUCGAGGUUAUGGGCACUUGCCCCUUUUUAUUUCCUCGUUUAUUUUUUUUCUUUUCUUUUUUUUCUUCUUUUUUUUCAGAGCACUCAUCUCUUGAGAUAAUAUAGCAAGUGGUAGUAGCAAGAUAACUUGAGCAUUUAUUUCACAAGAGAAAAACACAUAUGUUUUUGGCUAUUCUCUCCCGAAUUAGGAGUAGAAUAUUUUUAGGUGAUUUUGGAGAUGGAAAUGGAUGGAUAUAUGUGGAUGGUACUUCCGGAGUAGAAGUAGCAUAUAUGAGUGAACGUGCAAGUGAAUCUUGAUUUAACCACAUGACAAGCUCCUAAGGGUCUACACAGCUUGACCACACUCAAUGCUCAUAAGCAGUAAAUAAUAAAUGUGUGGCUCAAAGUCUAGCAAGCAUGUAUAUAUGGCUGUGGUAGGAAUUUAAACUCUCAUCAUACAGGAACUCAUCAUGCAACAUUUUAAAGAUUUUCAAAGAUAAAAUUCUCCAGAAUUCUAGCAUCUCUAGGAACAGAUAAACAGCAGCUCAACCUUCCCAUAUCUUAUCCGUUAACAACUUAGAUUUCAGAUCAAGUUUUCAUCCCACAAGUUUAGAUCUAGAGCAAGCUUUAAAUUAUAACAGUUAUGUCUAAACUUGAGAGAGAACUUUAAAUUUGCAAAUUAGGCAGAGCAACUAUUCAUCAUAUCCAUGCUAGAGUUUUAUUAUUAAGAUUCAUAGCAAACUUUAUUUAUUUAUUUAUUUAUUUAGCAAACUAAGAAAAGAUAUAUAUAUAUAAGCAUAAAAUCUUUAUUUGGUUUUUCAUAGUUUAUGUAUUUUAAUAUUCUAAUAUAAGUAUAAAGAUAGGUAGAAAUACUUAGCGAGAUAAAUAGGGGUGCUUUUCCCCAAGCUGAAUUUUGACGUAAUUUCUCUUGAUGUAGCUAGCAGGUGGCAGAGGUGUAUUUGAAAGUCAGCAGCAUUCUGACAGCGAUUAGAAUGUCCUCCGUCUGCUAGUCUUCUUGAUUCUUAAAUUCUGUGGAGCUCAAAUAGACAACAAAGCUUGUGGAACUAAUUAAGUGUUAGCAUAAAUAUCUAGCCUUCAUCACGUUGAGAUUCCUCAAUAAAUAUUACUCCCUGUUUUUAUAUAUUUUUAUUUUAUAAAGUAGAAAAGAAAUAUUUAUUUUAUUUUUAUGCCACCACAGUGAAGGUACUUAUGGGUUUUAUGCCACUCGUAUACUCACAUGGGGCUUAGUAUUUUUUAAUAUUUUUAUUUUCUUUUCAAGAUAGCAUGAUUAACUAAAAAUCUAUUUAAGGAAAGUAAAUAAUUAAAGGAAAAAGGAAAUGCAGAAAGGAUAAAUAUGGAUAACUACCAAUCUUACCUUUCGGCGAGGGUUCAAUGUUUUAAGUCUUCUUGACAAGACUUCUCACCGUGUUCAUUCUUCAGGUGCAUCAUUUGAUUCAGGUGCGGACCUUGACGUCUGCACCUUUUAAUACGGUGUCACCCAUGUUCUUCGUUUGCCCAACAGUUCGAAGUGUGGUGUUAGCAGUAUCUUGCUCAGUGUGUUUGUGCUCGUAGUGUACCUGCUCAUAGAGACAAGGCAGAGAUCAAGUGCAUGGGCCCUGUUGGUGGAAAACACCAACAGAACCAAAAGUGUAUUUGUUCUUCUCUAACCUUAAGCAUAGUGAGCAAGACAAAGUUGAUGGAUGAUAAGUUCAUGAGUGUAGCACUUAUAACAUUUGUCAGAUCAGAUCGCUCAACCUUAUGGAAAGAUAAUCUAUCUAUGUAUAUGUCUUUUUCUUUAUGUCUCUCAAUGAUUGAAUGUGUAACAUUUUAGCUCAUAUGAUUAGGAGUGUGGGAUCAUGGAGGUAGUACUAAGAACAAGGAUUAAAGGACUAAACAUGUUGAAUCAGUUGGGUUGGUUAAUCUAGAGUUGUAAAUCAUACACGUUUGUCUCUUUUAUUUAUAUGAACGCCAGAACCAAGG